CGACUACAUUAGAUACCCCGGUAGUCCUAGCCGUAAACGAUACUCGCUAGGUGUCGGCCACGGUGCGACCGUUGUCGGUGCCGUAGGGAAGCCGUGAAGCGAGCCACCUGGGAAGUACGGCCGCAAGGCUGAAACUUAAAGGAAUUGGCGGGGGAGCACCACAACGGGUGGAGCUUGCGGUUUAAUUGGAUUCAACGCCGGACAUCUCACCGGAUAAGACAGCUGAAUGAUUGUCAAUCUGAAGGUUUUACAUGACUAGCUG
rnacentral:rRNA from 1 species